rnacentral:rRNA from 1 species
AUGGCGCUGCCGCAGCCAGCACCACCGCCGGAGACGCCGAUCUUCAGAACCCUAGACGAGCUCCUCCACGACAUCUUCCUCCGCCUCCCCGCUGCCGCCGACCUGGCCCGCGCCUCCGCGGCGUGCCGCUCCUUCCGCCGUCUCAUCGCCGACCACGCCUUCCUCCACCGCUACCGCGCCCUCCACCCGCCGCCUCUCAUCGGCGUGGUCCGCAAUGGCACCUUCAUCCAGGCCCAGCCACCGCACCCCUCCGCCGUCGCCGCCCGCGCCUUCGCCGGCUUCGACUUCUCCUGCUCCUCCUUCCUCCCCUCCACCGCCGGCCGUACCUGGAGGCGGAUUGACUUCUUCGACGGACGCGCCCUCAUCGCCGGCGCCCCAGUCCAGGAAGAAAACAGCGUUCUUGGUGGGCGCCACUUCCGGUACCACAAUUUUUUGGUCAGGGACCUCGCCGUGUGCGACCCCGUGCACCGCCGCUACACCCUGCUGCCGGCUGUCCCCGGGGACCUGAAAGCGCUGGUCCGUGAAAAUGAGCUUUUUGAGCUGGAGACUUUCCUUGCUCCUGGCGAUGAUGAUGAUGAUGAGGACCCUUUAUCAUUCAGGGUGAUGUGCUUGGUGCAAUGCAGAUUGAAUAUCCCUGGUCAGAAUGUAUUUAAUCUGGUUCCUUAUGUUGUUGUACCAUAUCCUUUCUUGAUCUACACCCUUUCAGCAUCAUUAUUGUCUCCUCUGCAUCUGCUUUAUCAAGCUCCCCAGCUCUUGCAUCUGCUAUGA